UACGGAGGGUGCAAGCGUUACUCGGAAUUACUGGGCGUAAAGGGCGCGUAGGUGGUUGGUUAAGUCUGAUGUGAAAGCCCUGGGCUCAACCUGGGAAUGGCAUUGGAAACUGGCGGCCUAGAGUGCGGUAGAGGGUAGUGGAAUUCCCGGUGUAGCAGUGAAAUGCGUAGAGAUCGGGAGGAACAUCUGUGGCGAAGGCGACUGCCUGGACCAGCACUGACACUGAGGCACGAAAGCGUGGGGAGCAAACAGG
rnacentral:rRNA from 1 species